GACGAUCCGUCCUAACGUUAUUCGGAAUUACUGGGCGUAAAGCGUGCGCAGGCGGUGAUGUAAGACAGAUGUGAAAUCCCCGGGCUCAACCUGGGACCUGCAUUUGUGACUGCAUCGCUAGAGUACGGUAGAGGGGGAUGGAAUUCCGCGUGUAGCAGUGAAAUGCGUAGAUAUGCGGAGGAACACCGAUGGCGAAGGCAAUCCCCUGGACCUGUACUGACGCUCAUGCACGAAAGCGUGGGGAGCAAACAGG
rnacentral:rRNA from 1 species